rnacentral:misc_RNA from 1 species
UGUUUUUACUUAUAAUGCUCUUAUUAGGGGGUACAGCAAGUCUGGUGAUCCAGAUGGUGCAUAUGCCAUUUAUGAGAAAAUGAUGGUCGGGGGUUGUAGCCCAAAUAGUGGUACUUUUGCUCAACUACCUAAUUAACAGCGGACAUUUUAGGUUCUUCAAGUGAAGCUUGUGAGAGCGAGUUCCUAAACUCUGCGUUGGGGCUGCUAAGGGGUUACCUCUGCUGAUUGGACGUUACUAUUUGGA